UGGGGAAUAUUGCACAAUGGAGGAAACUCUGAUGCAGCGACGCCGCGUGAGUGAAGAAGUAUUUCGGUAUGUAAAGCUCUUUCGGCAGGGAAGAUAAUGACGGUACCUGCAGAAGAAGCACCGGCUAAAUACGUGCCAGCAGCCGCGGUAAUACGUAUGGUGCAAGCGUUAUCCGGAUUUACUGGGUGUAAAGGGGGCGCAGGUGGCGAGGCAAGUCAGAAGUGAAAGCCCGGGGCUCAACCCCGGGGACUGCUUUUGAAACUGUCGUACUAGAGUGUCGGAGGGGUAAGUGGAAUUCCUAGUGUAGCGGUGAAAUGCGUAGAUAUUAGGAGGAACACCAGUGGCGAAGGCGGCUUACUGGACGAUAACUGACGCUGAGGCUCGAAAGCGUGGGGAGCAAACA
rnacentral:rRNA from 1 species